rnacentral:rRNA from 1 species
CACGUAGGCGGAUAUUUAAGUCAGGGGUGAAAUCCCAGAGCUCAACUCUGGAACUGCCUUUGAUACUGGGUAUCUUGAGUAUGGAAGAGGUAAGUGGAAUUCCGAGUGUAGAGGUGAAAUUCGUAGAUAUUCGGAGGAACACCAGUGGCGAAGGCGGCUUACUGGUCCAUUACUGACGCUGAGGUGCGAAAGCGGUGGGGAGCAAACA